CCAUCUCAGGAGACGAGUCAGGCAAGGCUUCAGGUUGUGGAAUCACGGCGCACUAACAAGACCGACACUGAACUACAACACAGCAAUACCUAGUCACAGCCAGAGCAGUAGUGUGGCGACGUGAACUGUACACUUGAGAGGGACUUAAGGGCAAAUGGUAGCAGUCACCAUCAUGCUGAAGUACGUGUGUCUUCUCCUAGUGUUGGCAGGGUGUCACGCCACGGAGAAUGUGGAGGAUUUCGAAGGAGUGGAUGACCUAAGAGACCACCUACUGAAGCUGCAAAGGAUGGAUGAAAUGCGCGGAAUGGCAGACACGGCGGAGAGUGACAACGCCGAGAAAGUGAGGGACGACAGCGUGAGUGACAUGAGGGAUAUGAAGGAUAUGAAGGAAAUGAUGGAUAUGGAGGAAAUGAAGGAGGAAUUGAAGACACAGACACAGAGAGGCCAAGAAAUGCGACAUUCAACAAAUGGAGACUGCUAUAACUCUACUCACUGUUGCCCCGAUAAUAAUCAAAACACAUUCUGCAAGAGUGUCUUGGGUGGCGAAUGUUCCAAAUAAUAUACAAGCGUUGCGACUAUACCUUCAAGGACCCGUCCUCUGUACUUAUUCCAACUGUUCCUGUUGUGUUGAUUGUAACAGUGGGAACAAAUGUUCACCGUGUACAGAAGUUGGGGCGCGGUGCAGGAAGCGCUGCUACUUUUAUGAGUAUGAACAUAAAUGGUUGCAGUGCCAUAGCCGAGAGUUGUUGUUGCUGCAAGUGGUGUGACCCCACUACUGAGUGUAGGGCGGGCUAACUACGGCUUCUGUGUCACCGACUGGUGUAACUGCAGAUGGACGUCCUCCUACAUCAGUAGUGCAGGCUGCAAGGAUGGCCAUUGUCUAUGUUGCAAAUUCUGUAGAC